GACGAACGCUGGCGGCGUGCUUAACACAUGCAAGUCGAGCGGUAAGGCCCUUUCGGGGGGUACACGAGCGGCGAACGGGUGAGUAACACGUGGGUGACCUGCCCUCAGCUCUGGGAUAAGCCUGGGAAACCGGGUCUAAUACCGGAUAUGACUCCAUGACGCAUGUUGUGGGGUGGAAAGCCUUGUGCGGCUGAGGAUGGGCCCGCGGCCUAUCAGCUUGUUGGUGGGGUGAGGCCUACCAAGGCGACGACGGGUAGCCGGCCUGAGAGGGCGACCGG
rnacentral:rRNA from 1 species